rnacentral:rRNA from 1 species
GUACCUACGGGAGGCAGCAGUGGGGGAUAUUGCACAAUGGGGGAAACCCUGAUGCAGCGACGCCGCGUGGGCGAAGAAGUAUUUCGGUAUGUAAAGCUCUAUCAGCAGGGAAGAAAGAAAUGACGGUACCUGACUAAGAAGCCCCGGCUAACUACGUGCCAGCAGCCGCGGUAAUACGUAGGGGGCAAGCGUUAUCCGGAUUUACUGGGUGUAAAGAGAGCGUAGACGGCGAUGCAAGUCUGAAGUGAAAGGCGGGGGCCCAACCCCCGGACUGCUUUGGAAACUGUAUGGCUGG